rnacentral:rRNA from 1 species
CCUAGGGGCGGCAGCAGUGGGGAAUAUUGGACAAUGGGCGAAAGCCUGAUCCAGCCAUGCCGCGUGUGUGAAGAAGGCCUUCGGGUUGUAAAGCACUUUCAGUGGGGAAGAAAGCCUUGGGGCUAAUACCCUCGAGGAAGGACAUCACCCACAGAAGAAGCACCGGCUAACUCCGUGCCAGCAGCCGCGGUAAUACGGAGGGUGCGAGCGUUAAUCGGAAUUACUGGGCGUAAAGCGCGCGUAGGCGGUCUGAUAAGCCGGUUGUGAAAGCCCCGGGCUCAACCUGGGAACGGCAUCCGGAACUGUCAGGCUAGAGUGCAGGAGAGGAAGGUAGAAUUCCCGGUGUAGCGGUGAAAUGCGUAGAGAUCGGGAGGAAUACCAGUGGCGAAGGCGGCCUUCUGGACUGACACUGACGCUGAGGUGCGAAAGCGUGGGUAGCAAACAGGAUUAGAUACCCGAGUAGUC